rnacentral:tRNA from 1 species
GGAGGGAUGGCAGAGCGGCUGAAUGCACUGGUCUUGAAAACCAGCAAGGAUUAAUCUCCUUCUAGGUUCAAAUCCCUAUCCCUCCACCA